rnacentral:rRNA from 1 species
UCCGUAGGUGAACCUGCGGAAGGAUCAUUACCGAGUUGAUUCGGGCUCCGGCCCGAUCCUCCCACCCUUUGUGUACCUACCUCUGUUGCUUUGGCGGGCCGCGGUUCUCCGCGGCCGCCUCCCUCCCCGGGGGGUGGCCAGCACCCGCCAGAGGACCAUCAAACUCCAGUCAGUAAACGAUGCAGUCUGAAAAACAUUUAAUAAACUAAAACUUUCAACAACGGAUCUCUUGGUUCUGGCAUCGAUGAAGAACGCAGCGAAAUGCGAUAAGUAAUGUGAAUUGCAGAAUUCAGUGAAUCAUCGAAUCUUUGAACGCACAUUGCGCCCUUUGGUAUUCCGAAGGGCAUGCCUGUUCGAGCGUCAUUACUACCCUCAAGCUCUGCUUGGUAUUGGGCACCGUCCUUUGCGGGCGCGCCUCAAAGACCUCGGCGGUGGCGUCUUGCCUCAAGCGUAGUAGAACAUACAUCUCGCUUCGGAGCGCAGGGCGUCGCCCGCCGGACGAACCUUCUGAACUUUUCUCAAGGUUGACCUCGGAUCCGGUAGGGAUACCCGCUGAACUUAAGCAUAUCAAUAAGCGGAGGA